UGGUGGGAGGCAGUGAGGGGGCAUGGGAAGGGGAGGGAGGGGAGGCAGAGUAGGGGGGUAGGGAGAAGGAAUAUGGAGAGGGGUAGGCACUAGACAGAGUAGGAAGGGGUGAUGGGAUGGGGAGGGGUAGGGGCAGAGUAGGGGGAAGAAAGAAGGGAAGCAGAGUUGGUGGGGGAAGGGAAUUGGUGGGGGGCAGUGAGGGGGCGUGGGAAGGGGAGGGAUGGGAGGCAGAGUAAGGAGGAGGGGGAGAGUGCUUUCUAGUGCCAAAACAUGUGCUAUCAGAUCUUACAUAGCAGCCGUCCUUGAGUUUGGUGUUUGGUGCAAGUGAUGUGCUGAUAUUGUGGUGAGGGCAGCCAUCGGGUUCAAGAAUAUAAUAAUUGUUAACCACUUAACUGGGUUGUUUAAGUUUAAUAGCUCGAUUGCAUCUUUUAGUGGGGUGAAGUUAUACUGUGGUGAAGUUUCGUUAUCGGUUGAGUAAGUGUUGCAUAGUUGGGUUAGUACACUUCUAGGUGAGGUUAGGUUACUGUACUGGGGAAGGCUAGGUAUUGGGCAAGAUUAGGUUGCUGUUGUAGGCUAUGUUAGUUUACUGUAGUAGGCUACGUUAGGUUACUGUUCUAGGUUGGUCUUUUUUAUUUUUUCAUCAAGGGUAUAGUAAGAAGGGAAUGUACGUUAGUGGAGAAGGUACAGGUGGGGUAGGAGACAGUAGGAGCAUAUAAUUGUAUUGUUAAAGGUUCGUUUGGUUACUGUACUGGGCAAAGUUAGGUUACUGUAGACUAUUAGGCUUUUUUUUAUAUCAAGGGUAUAAUAAGAACAGGUAGUGAGUUAGUGGAGAAGGUACAGGUGAGGGAGAAGAAAAGACAGUAGGAGGGUGUAGCUUUAUGGUGUAGGUUCGUUAGUUUGCUGUGCUGGGCGAGGUUAGGUUACUGUAGACUUAGGCUUUUGUUUCAUAUCAGGCUAGGGUAUAGUAAGAAGAGGUAGUGGGUUCGUGGAGAAGGCAGUCGGCUAUAGAGUAGUGUCACACUGUCCAGUAAGUUUCGUUCAGAAAGCGACAUCUGGCAACCCCUCCACGCGACAUGAAAAUUAUUACAGGUAACUCUCGAUUUACGCGAGUGUUGCGUUCUUGAAGAGGUCGCGUAAUUCAAAAACAAUUAAAUCAAACAAGAGGUAGGUUUCUGUCGAAAAAUAAAUACCGUAAUUUUCGGCGUAUAGCGCGCAUUUUUUCACAUAAAAAAUGCCUGAAAGUUUAGCCCUGCGCGUUAUACGCUGAAUGUACAAAUUUUUAAUGAUUUUUUUCUUUGGGAUGUUUUUAAGGGUCUGUUUUUCGUCUUAUCCAAUAACAACGGCAAACUUACCUUUAUUAUUGUUUAUAAUCCUUCAUAGUCCGUAGCUGUCCUAUAAUAUGUUACCAUAGAAUACAGGGCGAUCUAAUAACUACUAUACCAAGACUAAAUCGGUGGAAGAUCGUCCUUGCCUUGCUGUUAUCCCGUUUUUCCGUCGGGCACCAUUUGUAUGAUCUUGAUCUUGAUGUCACAGGUGGCUUAAGUUUGUAUGACUAAGGAGCAGUACAAGCUACAUAAAAAAUCAUAUUGGAAAAAAAUGUCCAUGUGUUCAUUAUUAAUUAUUAAUAUUAGUGAGAAUAAUGGGGUGAAUAUGAUAUCAGAAACUGUACAUCAUGAGUCUUGUACGAGGAGUUAUUUCACGCAAUCCCAGCCCGGCCGCCAUUUGCAUUGUUUACAAACCACACAACCACACCCACACAACAAACAGCUGCAUGCCGCGUGUCACCAGAACCGAGAUAUCCACUCGGGCACUCAUUCUCAGCCUCUCUCGUGUGAGGAAGAAAUGAGGGACACCAUGAGGGGCUGGCUAGUAUUGGUACCGGUACCGAGCAGUCUGGUACCAGUACCGUACCGUAUUGCUGGUACCGUUAGUACCGGUACUGGUACCGGUACCUGCCCACCCCUAUUGUUGAGUAGCGUGGCAGCGUAGGUACUGUGUUGUUGUUCAAGUAGCGCGCGGGAAGAACUGAGCUCAGCUGUGUGGCCGUGUGAGUUCAGUUGCGUGAGACAUCUAGUGGCCACUCCAUAAAUAUCGCGUAUAAGUGAAAAAAACGCCUAAAUUAACAUUUAUUUGGAUUUUGGACCCCGCGUUAUUUAAAAACUCGUAAACCAAACUCGCGUAAAUCGAGAGUUACCUGUAUAUCCUAUCGAAAUCGUACUGUUGUGGUGACCGGUGGUCACAGGUGCACUCUACAUAAUUUUAAGAUAGAUAUUUAUCAAAAGUGCCCGUCGCUAACGCUUAAUAAAUAUUUUUUCUUUAGGCUCUGUCGCUACAUUUUGACACGAGCUUUAAGUUUCGUUCAAAAUUAGUCAAGAGCAACUCUAAGUUGUUUAUCAAACUAUGAUACAUUUAAAAAUAUACUGCACAUAUUAGGGGAGAUUGUUAUGCCUUUUAACUAAAAACAAAAAAUUCCUGGCAGCCGAGAUCUUGUUCUUUAUAAAAAAAAAUUAUACGUAAUAAUAGGCUGUAAACGUUCACAUGAUGGCGUCGUCGACCGCGGGCCUUGGCUGGAGCACCGGUAUUCUAUUAAAGCCCUUAUGUCCGCAGGCACUGCAGUUGAGCUGUCACGUCAGUGGCUGUGGAAACGUAUAAUUUUUAAUACCUAAAAAAAUAGGAGAGAGAGAGAGAGAGAGAAAGGACGAGAGGCUGGGUGGGGACGGGAGACAUGUCCAUCAGCGACAAGGGGUCAGCUAGUCAGCGACACACACACACACACACACACAUAUACACACGUAUUUAUACUUCGAUAUUACAUAAUCUUCACGGAGAAAUAAUUUUAGAUUUUUUAUGAUCUGAAUUGUCUUUGAGGCUUUAUAGUGACAGGAAUUAAGGCUGCGAGUUAAACAGAUCGACCCUCAAGCCUAUUUGCUGUUUGAUGGUAAGGAGCAUUAGUCACUGCCUGCCUCUGUGAAGGACAGCAUUGCACGCGGUAUUUUCAAAGUUUAAUAAGAAAAAGUGUUUCAGACUUCGAUCGUGAUGUUUUACCUCGCCAUAAUCAUCAUCAUCAUGUAGAAGACAUUCAUUAUCGCAUUUCUAAAUUGAAGUCACGUAAUCUGGUAUAUUUCUAACUACAUUAUAUUAUAAUAUAAUAUAAUAUUAUACAAUAUUAUAAUCUCACGGUCACACAUGCACACACGGUACACACUGAAACGCGUCACUAACAUUGCCAGUGAAUGCGUCACCGUGGUAUAGUUGCCAGAUACCGCCACCAGGCUAAACAUUCUGAAAACCGUGACACUACUCUCUAUCGUCGACUGUACAUGUGAGGGAGAAGAAAAAACAGUAGGAGGGUGUAAGUUCAUUAGGUUACUGUACUGGGUGAGGUUAGGUAACUGUACUGGGUGAAGUUAGGUUACUGUACUGAGUGAGAUCAGGCUAUCAUUGCAUUACCACAGCAUCUCUCUGACUCGACCUCACUUACCACAUAUGCUCCUGUGAUGGACAAAUAUUAAAGGUUCAUACCACCUGCUUGACCAAUUAUCAUGAGAUUGCAGCUCUGGUAUUUACUUUUUUGGUUGGUUGUUGUUGGAGUAAAGUGAUGGAAAGGAAAAAGAUGCCAUGGAAGGAAAGAGAUACAUUAGGCUGUACUGCUGUGAUCAUAGUUCUUAAGUGUUAAACGAAGGUAUUAUAGAGGCCUUAAUCAAUCCGCAUUUAGCUACGCAUGAUGCACGCAAUUUAAUGCUUGUUGCGCCACAUGUAUAAGUCAGCCAUGAUAGACGUAGUGGUGGUGGUGUUCCCGCGAUUGUGCAGCAGGGGAGCUAAUGUUUACUUUUAGCACUGCUUUUAGGCAAGGCUCGUGAGGAGGGUCGCUAUUUUUUUGUGUUAUAUAGUUUGCACCUGGCUGGCACGUACCCGAGGUAGUGUUCUCUUGUGCUCCAGCAAGCAAGACUAUGGCUUUAGUUGUUAAGUCUCAAUAUAUAUUUUCACACACCCUCCCGUUAUAUAUUUUGUACAUCGAAGGGCCCUAGUCAAGGGAAACUGACUGGCUUUAGUUGGUAAGUCGCAAUGUUACACUGUAUUUUCACGCACCCUUCCGUAUUCUAUUUCGUACUUUUAAAAGAGGCCUUUAACAAAAUCGAAAGACUUCUAUAUUAAGAAAACCUUUUCACUCCUUCAGCAUCCAUUCCGUCCGUAAAAAAAGAAGAAGAAAAAAAGCGAAUCCUCGUAAAGCCGCUUCGAAACGCCAUGACGAGGUAUCACGUCCUCCUCCCACUAUGAACCAGUUGUGUAUUAUUUUUUUCUCAUCAAAACGCCCAAUUGUUAUCCAGCAUGGGCCCUGUCUUGCUAUAAAAAUGUGAUCCUCGUUACCAGGUCUAAUCUAUUGGCGGUCUGUAAGUGUACGGUAAAUCGGUUCUUAGUUCCAGAAUUAAGUGAUAGUCAGAAGUCCACUCAAAGCAGCGCGUACGAUAUCCACCAGUCAAAAAAUACACUGCAAUGAGCACUUUCUGUGUUUCCGUGUCACCACUCGAGUCACCCCAUUAGGAGGAGCAUGGACAGCAGUCACAACACUUAUUUCUGUUCCUUCAUUUAGGUAAGUGAAUAACAGACUCUAUUUUAUAGUGCUGAACAUUGGACUGAUAAACAAGUACGUAAAUGAAAACGAAGUGGUCUCCAACCAUUUUGUCCAGUGCAUCUUUUUCACCAUCUCAGAAAGUCAUUUGCCCCUUUCCAAGAUAGUCUAAUUCAAAUGGUGCACAUCUCCCCUGCGGGAGGAGGGUGCAGCGGCGUCACUUCGAUCACUGGAGUGUGUGUGUGUGGGGGGGGGGGGGGUUACUCGUCUUGUUGUAGGAAGCCUAGAGGUGAGCUAUUUUGAACCGUACGGUUCAGGAGCUUGUGGUAUACGUUCCGAUAAACUGCUUGCAGUAGUCAACCGAUGCAUACUACGUUUUGUGCCCCCCAAAGGACUUGCAGGCAGUUAAUAGAUCAAUAUUCUAAAUCUUUUGAGUCUGCCAAUCUUUGACCCAUAUUCCCCACCCCACCCUUAAAUCCUGAAAUUCCCCCCUGGUUGAGAACCCCUUCUCUAGGCAGUAUUGAAAGCUUUUGUGCCUCCCGCUGUUUGAUGUUUAGUUGUCUUUCUGAAACGGUGACCCAGUGCCAAGUCUGUUUCAUGCUUGACAGCGCUUCGAUCCCCCACAUAAACUUCGGAUCUCUGUCUGUUCAACAUAAUCGCACUCUUCCAUGCAUCAUUCACCUUCAGGGCAACGAAAACAAACAUGCUAUGGAUUUCCUUUAUUUUCUUAAGUGAUAUGGUGCAAUUGGUACUUGUAUGAAGGCUGUACCUGAAAAAAUAUGGAGUUCUUAUGUGGAAACAAUUUUUUUAUUCUUUAGCUAGUUCUGAACCGACCUUGGGUUAUAUUGGAAACCAAACUGUAUUGUGGAAAUUUUAACACGGCGGGUUAUCCCGCAUAUUGGUAUUGUAGCUGUGGCCAGGCAGCGUGCUGUGAUUAUACAUUAUGCUGUGUGUGUGUGUGUGUGUGUGUGUGUGUGUAUACAUGGAAUGCGAUAGUUUCAUUGGAAGGAAAUGUAUCAUCUUGUUUAUGAUCUGCAGUGGUGUUAGGAGCUAGGGGCUAUAUAGGAAAAUUAAGUACAGCUAAGUAGUGUUCACUAUAAAUUUUGUGAUGUAGCUAGACAGAGCUAAAGGAAAGUGCAAAUCAUUGGUACAUACUAUGGUAGUAGCUUUACAUAGUUAAUAAGUCAUUAAGUCAUUACAUGGUGAAGUUGGAAUUAGUAGAUGAUAAUAUAUGUGUGACUUCUUAAUGCAACAGUUCAUUCUUGGGUUUGCAACACAGGAGUUUAGGAUCAGUGAGUCAUCAAGGUCACACACACAUGGGUCAAGGAUGGGGAAGUGCAACAACAUGGACCUUAAAUAUUUUUCAUCUAAACACCUUGCCCCAAAACCUAGGAAAAAUCCAUUCAAUAUAAUGUAAAAAUUUCAUUAGUGUGUGUGUGUGUGUGUGUGUGUGUGUGUGUGUGUGUGUGUGUGAAACAUCUCAUGGCAAUUUUAUAUUAAAAAAAAUUCACUUCAGAGUUGAUUGUGUUUU